rnacentral:rRNA from 1 species
CAACCGCUUCGUAGGUGAACCUGCGGAAGGAUCAUUC